rnacentral:lncRNA from 1 species
CGUCCUUGUUGCUUCCCGCCGCGUCCAGGCCCCCGAGGAAGCGCGAGGCGGGAGAGGCUGGGGCUGCGACGAGCAAGCAGCGGGUCCUGGACGAGGAAGAGUAUAUCGAGGCCUCCAGACGGUCAUCCAAAGGGAUUUCUUUCCUGAUGUGGAGAAGCUCCAGGCACAGAAGGAGUACCUGGAAGCCGAGGAGAAUGGAGACUUGGAACGGAUGCGCCAGAUUGCCAUCAAGUUUGGCUCU